UAGGACUUUUCGAGCAACUGAAACAAGGAUCAUUAGUCCAUUAGUCAAGCUACUUGAUGAGCGUGAACCAGGAAUCUCCAAAGAAGCAGCAUUAGCCCUUACAAAAUUCGCUUGUUCUGAUAACUACCUUCACAAGGAUCAUUCCAAAGCCAUCAUAAACGCGGGAGGGACAAAACAUUUGAUUCAACUUGUUUACUUUGGUGAACAAAAAGUUCAGAGUCCUGCAUUGCUUCUACUUUGCUACAUUGCGUUGCACGUUCCUGAUAGCGAAGCACUUGCUCAAGCCGAGGUACUGACAGUGCUCGAGUGGGCCUCAAAGCACGCGUACUUGAGCCAACAUGAAAAGGUAGAGAGACUGUUGCUCGAAGCAAAUAGCAGGCUUGAACUAUAUCAAUCUAGAGGAUCAAGGGGAUUCCAUUAACUUGUAAUAAUAAUUAAAAAAAAAUGUGUAG
rnacentral:misc_RNA from 1 species